rnacentral:rRNA from 1 species
CCCGAGAAACCUAAAAGUUCGAAAAGAGAGAUUCAACGUCAGUGAGUAUUGUAUUCACGUGAGUAGUGAUGUGAGUUUUUAGUAGAAAGGUCAAACUUUUUAUUAUAUAACUUGCACAUUUUCAUGUUAUUUUAUUGCAAUACUAAUGCCGGCGUGCACUUCUCUCUUAGUAGGACGUCCCGACCCGUUGAGUCUUGGCCUACGGCACAGAUGGUAGACUUUAAUAUUUCGGUAUUGAAGACCACUGUUGUACUCCUGGCUAAAGUACUCGACGGUAGUAUAAUGAUAUGGUGUUAAGCCGCAUUAAUUUUAAUGCGUUCGGCCUGUCGCAAGUAAUUGAUAUUUUCCGUAUUUUAUAGACAAUGUGCUAUAUAUAUGGUAAUGUCGCUUUGCAUGACUGUGCUUUAGGACCGGCUUAUUCAUCUGUCAGGGACGCUUAGGCUUUGGGUACUCUCAGGACCCGUCUUGAAACACGGACCAAGGAGUCUAACAUGUACGCGAGUCAUUGGGUAUAUAUUUUCCUUCGGGAAUUUAUAUAAAACAAACCUAAAGGCGUAAUGAAAGUAAAGGUUGAA